GCGGGGUGUCCUCGCACCCGCGUCCCGGCGGUGCCCCAGGCGGGCCGGGGCCCGACACCGGCCUUCUCCGCAAGGGUGCGGCCGCUGGUCGCUGCACUCCGCUUCGUUCCUGGGGCGGCUGAGGGCGGUGGCUGUGCGGGCGGCGGGCCGGGGUCGGAGUGUUUCCUGCGGUGCUUCAGGCCCGGCGAUGCCUCCAGGGUCUCUGCCGCGCCUUCCCCGGGAGCCGCGGGCGGGCGCUGCGCAUUCCCCAUGGGCCGGCCGGGAGAGGCUUUCCUGGGCAUCGCUCCGCUGGGGCGGGCACGGACACGCUGUUCCGAGCGCAGCCCUCGCCCUGUCAGGAAUUUAGCCUCCGUUGUUCGUAUCCGCAGUUAAACCCACCUUGAUGGGUAUGCGUGAUCUGAGGCACAGCGGGUUUGGUUCUGAGCGCUGCUUUGAUGUACUGAGUCUGCCUCGGGAGGGGCGCUUGGCGUGGCGCUCGAGUCUCACCUGAGCAUUUUAGGGAAGGAUUAUCAGGGCUGAAGAGAAUGCAAUGCGCUGGUUCAGGGAAAUAGUGCCCGCUCUAUGCUUAAGGUCCUCUUCUGGAUAAAGCUCCUCCGGUUCCGGUGUUCGGUUGUAGGUCGGUGUUUUUCUUCUCCGAUUGCAAAACAUUGGUUGAGGUUAUCAAUGGGCCGAGUGAUCCACGCUUUUCAGGAGGGGUGGAGAAGGGUGGUUUGUUGGUCCUUUUGAUGUAUGUCAUUUCUCCGGAGAGCUGUGUGAGAUAUAAUCUGCUGUGAUUGUCACAUUUGUUGUGAAAUUCCCAGUGGAUUGAUUGUCAAAUUCCCAGUCGUAGAUUUCACUUUCUUUGCCUUAAGUGUUGGUAAGGCUACAAGAGGUAAUUGCUUAUCCUUUGUUUCCCACCUUUACCAAUUUACAGUACUGGUUUGAAAACAAUGUUAAAUUUUAGAUUAAGGUAGUGUUUAGAGAGACCAUGCUUAAGCGAGUCCUUGCUUUUUGAUCUGACUUAUUUUCAUCAGUUAAUUUUCUUUUUUUUUUCUUUGUAAUUUGAACAGAUUUCGUAACGAGUGUUUUUGUUGGAAUAUAUGGCAGUAUAUGAAGAGAUCAGUUGAUAGCUUUUUGAUUUGGAAUAGCUCUUCAGCAUUCUGCCAUAUUAGGUGUAUGUUUGUACUUAAGUACUGGUGUGAUUUUCUAAAUGGAUUCUGCCAGUCAACAUACAGUAAAUGGUCUGUUGUGGUUAAAACUUCUUUGGAAAUCUCAUGUCAAGUUGUUUUUUUUUAUUUAUUAUUCAUACACUACUCAAACUCCCGACAAAAUAGCUGUUACACUGUGUGCAGGCAGUCCUUUGUUCCUUUUUAUUUUUUAAUUUACAUUUUCUUUUUAUUGGUAGAGUUCAGCUGUAUCAGUGUGUAUAUAUAUGUAUAUUCAGACAAUAUUACAUAUAUAUAUAGUAUAUGUAUUAGUUACUAUGGGUGACUGAUACCAAAGUGAUUUGAGGUUUUUUGGACUUGCUCAGUUUCCACUGCUCCAAAGUGCAGUUAUAUGAAUAGAACUGCUUAAACAUGAAGUUUGAUCUUGGCUAGAUCUGCCAGCUAGACACAGUAAUAGAGGUGUGAGAGUUUGUUAAGAAGUCUAUCACCAAUCUGUUGACAGGAAAUUACAGCAGUGAUGAUAGCAACAAUUGUUAUUAUUAGUAUUGAAAUACGUCACCUCAUAAAGCAUCUUUUAGAGAACUAUAAAACUGCAACAGUUGGAAUGACAUAGUUAAUGCUUAUCACAAUAUUAUGGAAAGGUUAAGUAUCAGAGUGUGCUUUGUUAACUGCCUUUUUUAACAGCUGUGAUUUUGGAGAAUUUCACAAUUUAUAGUUGAAAAUUUUACAGUAAAUUAAAAAAGACUCGAAAUUAAUUUUGCAUUUUUGCACUGCAUGUUGCUCUUUCUGUAAUCACCUCCUCUCUGUAUCUCUUCAUUUUUUCAUACAUCCUAUUCUGAAAAUUUCCUUAAGGGUUAGGGAAGUUGAGAUUAAUGAAAGUUAAUUAUUUCUUUAAAUUAUCUUUUAGGUGGCUUGAGAACCAAUCAGUGAUUCUGUAUAUAAUCUACAAGUGUAUAUCACAGAUUGAGUGAAAUAACUGGAAUUUUUCUGCUCUUCUUUUUUAACAAAAAUACACCAGAAACUCAAGAAAUCGGAUCUUAAAAAUCUGAGCAAAGCUGGAUCCAAGAGCAUCUUCUCACAACCAACCAAGUAAUGUGAUGAAUAAAACAGAGGUGGUGAACUGAUGACAGGCAAAAGAAAGAGUAAGUAACUGCAAUUCCUAGAGAAGGCUCCCGACUGCCAGCUUGUGGUGAAUGUAGCAGCACUGGUGUGGUGAUAGUCUGAGGAUACAGAUUUUCCAUAAAGGUUGCAGUCUGAGGUGUAAGUAUGUAAAAGAACAUAGUCAUUUAGGAAGACAGAUAAUUAGGAAAAUCUGCGAGGCAUCCUGACAGGAAAAACCCAAAACUUCCAUUAUUUAACUUCAGAAGAGUGACUUUUUUUCUUUGAUUUUUCCUCCAUUUAUGCAUUUACAAUCUUGUUAUCUGUUUCAGAUAUUGUGAAUAAACAUCUUUAUUUGCAUGGUUAACUGAACCUGGCAUGAAUUAAAAGUGAUAUGAUAUUAAAUGAAUAUGAAGAAGUAAUUUCUCACUCCAGUUCCUGGAGCAAAGUGCAAGUAUCUGGCUCUCCAUGUUUUGUAGAAUAGCAGAAAUCUAGCAGACCAUGCUUCCAAGGAAAUUGUUCGGGUUCUCUGGAAAAAAGCUAUUACAGGUUCAGAGAAGAAAGAAACCACUUAUGUAGCUGUAAGUAACCAUCUCUCUGUCAUUCUCAGUAUUGGGGUAUACUUUGAACUUGGAAGGCUCUCAGGGAGGCUAUAGCAAGAGCCUAAGACAUGUUGGAAACUAAAUUAAAUUCUUGUAUCCUAUCCUACUGUGACAGAACUUAAAGUAUGCCUUCAAUACGCCUAUUUCAAUAUUAUGUUAUUAGCCAAAUGUAGAUGUUUAGUGCUGCAGACAGAGUUUUGUGUGUUGUUGUCCCAGGGUCUCUCCAGUCAUCAGGCUGUUCAUCUUAAUCUAAUUUUAUUACUUCCUCCAUUCCAUUUCUUCCUUGGCAGUAAACAUAAUGUUGGUACUGCAGUGAUAAAUUGAUGUAGUUCUGUCUUUCUACUUUUGUAUUCGUUUGGAAAUGCUAAAUGUUGGUAAUAACAGUGUAGUUAGUAGUGUUGAUGUCGUUACCUUGUUUUAGCAAAAUUGAGCACUUAGUAUUUAUCUCCAAACCUUCUCUGGUAUGGUUAUUUUCACUCAAACGUUUGGUUUCACCUCUAGUAACUUCUGCAUCAGUGAUGCAUUUUCCAUAUGAAGUCAUGAAGACAAAAACUACAUUAAGAGAUUACAGUUUUUAAAUAAAGCAGAAAGUUACAGAUUUUCAUAUGCACUGAGGUAAUACAUUUAAUAAAAUAAUCUCCUUUCCUCCUUGUGUAGACUCCAGCCUCUUCCAGAAUCCUAUCCAGGCAAUGUCAGCUUAAUGAUCAAAACCUUAAAAUAGAGGUCAGAAGUACUAAAUUUGGAUGUCCAAUUUAGUACUUGUCACAGGGGUAUGAUUUCCAAGAAUUUGUAACAUUGGAAAGUACUUAUAGUUAGCAUACAUUCCCAUUUAUUUCAGUGGGUACUUGGCUCUACUCAUCAGAUCCAAGGUGUCCAGGUGAGUGCACAGAGAAUUAGGACUGAGCAAUCACACAGUACUUAGGAGCACGCAUUCACUGCCAACACCACGGUGCCCUUGUAGAUUUAUAUAAAUUACCUAAUUUGUUACAAACACAGCUGUUUAAUCUGCAUGAUCCUCACUGUGUAGCACAUCAGAGGUGUAUGUCACUGACUUUUGACUUGGAGUUGAGCAUAUAAUAGCAUGUUGACAGGAUUUACUCAUACUUGCCCUUCAUGUGGAGUGAGCAUGCUGCUGGAAUAUGUCUUUCAGGAGAGGUCAGUUUGAAGUUCCUGUUUUAGCAUUCCUAUUGGGCCUACAGAGAUUUUGUCUACCUGAUGAACCCAUCAGUAUCAGAACUGAUUUAUAUGAGUUUGGAAGUUCUGUCUAUUAGGCAGCAUCAGGCCUUUGCUGAGGCAGUAGCAAGUCUGGGACAAACAAAGUUGUGUAGGGUUCAUUAGUACUUGUUAAGUGGUACACACGCGUUGGGUUUCUCUGUACAGAGAAAGAUUACAGGCCAUGUUGGUUGCUCUUGGCAGUUCAGGCUUUUCUGUGGAUGUCAUGUGUUGAGUCCUUACUUCUGACUUAUUUUUCACUUUAUUUUUCCUUCCCAGAUUUUGAUGUCACCUUCUUGUGUCCUUCCCCAUAUAAACGAGGAGGCAAAUUUUAAUUCUGAAUUAGCCCAUCUAUUUUUGGAUUUCUUCUGUGACAAAUGACUAGGGAUUCUAACAGUUGAACUUCCUCUAUUGCAAACCAUCUUAAUCAUCUGCAGACCAGGUAUCUUAUGAAAUCCAAACCUGAUCAGGAGAACAACCACAGAAACUAAAAGAAAUUGUAUUUCUCAAAAUCAUUGUGUAUCAGAUACAGCUAAAACUUCCAGAUCAGAAGAGUGGGAAGGAAAAUCCAGACAUUUCUUCCUAACCAGAGAACAAGGAAUAUAUUCAGUAAACAAGUAGGAAUGAAAUGGACCAACACUUUUAUGUUUUUGAAGCAAAAAAUUUGAUCUUCAUUCCAGGAUGGUCAUCCAGGACUUUGAACCAUAAAUCCCACUCAGUCUAGUAUGAUAUACCAGUCUUUCAUACAAGAUAUCAAUGGUGACUAGGGGAUGGAACAGUGAUAAUGUGUAUUUUUCUGUAAAUACAAAAAUUUGCAAAGAUCACCCAGAAGAUGCAGAGUGAUUCUACACCACCACCCCACGGACUGAAAAUAAACAGCUGAAAUCAUGUGAGCACACUGCUGUAAUAUGUCUGUUGAUAAGGUUACAAUCUUUUCCACGGUGAAUGCUGUUCUGGCUUCUGUGAGGUUUGGGAACAACCUUUCUUUUGUGAACUUGUGAAGUCAUGCCCACGAGUAUUCUACCAGUGCCACAUACCAUGGCUGAUGAAGUAAGUGAGAUCUAAAAGCAUUCCCGUGUAGGAUGAGAGGACCACAGUAAUAAUGUUCUAUCUCAUAGAUGAGUGUGAAGGUGUAAACUGUAUGAUGGAGAAGCCAAACUUGAAAAUUUACUGGUGAUACAUUACCUUAAGGCAUCAUACAGAAGUAUCACAUGCAAGGUUAGGCAGAUUUGUCAUCAUGGUAGGAAGAAGACCCACAUGUGUAUGUUCUGGCAGUCUAAAACCUUUCUUGAAAUACAGGUUGUUGUAGGUUCUGAGGAGUGAGUUCCAAAUCUUUCUUGUCCCUUCAGCGGCCAGCUGUCCAGGCCCUGAGAGGGAUACAUAGUUGCAUCCAAAGUAGGUCAGUACCUCUGCCAGUAUUUACAGCUGCAGUGAGUCUUGAGUUGGCUUUGUGAUCUGAGAAACAAAGUGGAUACACUUGAGAAAUAUAGAAAUGUCUCAUGAAGUUCGAUUCUAUGAGAAAGUAGAGGAGGAUGCCAAGGCAGAUAGAUAGUGAUUAUGUUUCUUUGCGUGAUCUUUCUUGCAGUGAUUCUGUUGAAAGCUUGUCAACUAGUGGAGGUGAAAGCUAGUAGGCAGGAGAUCCUCUUUCUGUGAAGUUUUCCAUGUAGAGUGAGUCAGCACUGGCAGUUUGUUUAACAGUUUGAUGCUGCCAGGUCGGGGUGUGAGGAUUCUGAAGGACUGGGACCGAAGCCCCUCGCACAUGCUGAACUGGUGUGAAAAAAGGUUCUGAGGGGUCUGUUGCCAUCACACUAGGGAUCAGAGGGCUUCUUAUUUUUGGCUUGAAAUUAAACCAUAUGCUAGUAGAAUUGUAUUCUUUUGAGUAACCGUGUCUCACUUGUGAGGUGGAAAAGAGGAAGAUAACAGAUCUUUAGGGGUAUAGGCACAUGUACUGAGGACUGGUCAGAUGCCCCAGACAAUACUACAUACUGUUCUACAUGGGCUAAUGUACAUACCCUUAAAAUGGAGAGGCUGAGCAUCCUGCUCUGGUAGCCUGUCAUAAGGUCAAUGAGAAAUGAUUUACAAGUCUGACUCCAAAUACAGAGCUUUCUGUUGAGCAUGCCCUGAUGUUGUGCUGUUACUCUGAAAUACCGCAUGAAGGAAUGACAUGAGAUCUGUGUCCUAGCCUGGAUGCUCCCGAGUGAAAACUCCACACGCCACCUUCUUACUGGGUGUAAUUGGAAGAAUCUAGAAGCAUGAAAUUAUAGAAAAUUGGUCAAAUGGUGCAAAUACCAAUAAGAAAUACCAUAUUAUCAAAGGGAUGUCCAGGGACUAGGGAAUGCUGUAGCCCACCUGGCAGAAAAAAGCAACUUGCUGUGAAAAAAGCCAGACUUGCUGUGUGUCAGACACAUUAGAAUGUGGACACCAUCAAGGUUUCUGUAGAAAACUUGUCUCCACUUAAAAAGUAUUUGUACAGCUGCACAGCAGAUACACGUGAAUUAUCCCUUAAAAGAUAAACCAAUGUAUUUCCUUAUCAUAAUCUUACUAGGUUUUUGACACUAUUUCUAUUCAUUUUUAUACUCUGCACAGUAAUGUACAUGGUAUGGUAUGGUAUGGUAUGGUAUGGUAUGGUAUGGUAUGGUAUGGUAUGGUAUGGUAUGGUAUGGUACUCGCUCUUUAAUACAUUUCUAUCACAGGUUGUAUUCCUGUGCACCAACACUAACUUAUAUCAGCAUGUUGUAAGACUUCUGAGAAGGGUGGCAGGAUUACUAAAACAAUUUAAUUGGAGAGUAGUUCCUCACAGGCAAGUACACAAAUUACCAGAUGGCCUCCGUAGUUUGUACAAACUUUCUUGUAUUGAAAGUUGAAGGUACUCUGUGUGUCUGAGCCUAAGGGUCUAUUCCUACACUGAGUGGGCUGCACGAGUGUUAGCUGCUUUAAUAGCUUGUGUUUUGUUCAGAGAUCAGUGUGCUAAAUAGUCCCUGAUGAGGAAAAAAGCAUUUGGAAAGUACUUUUCAUAUUCUACAAGAUUUCCACAGCCUAGUUGCUUAAACUCUCUGAACCUUAAUUAACUUUCUACAAGCAAUAACGAGUGUAUCUAUUUCUGAUUCCCUAGUCAAAUAUUUAUUGUAGGAUCAACUGGUUUUUGAGGCAAGGAAACCUCUUACUUCUAGAGAAAACAUAACAAUGAAUUGGUAAGUUGUUUUGCAGCAAUUUAGCUGAGUGGCUGUGAAAUACUGAUGGGUAAAAAGAAUCACACCUACUCUCAAUUGCUUUUUGCUAUAUGCAGGACUUGUUGGGGAUGAUCAGCACAGGCAACUGUGUUAGGCUGGGCCAGCUAAAACAUUGUUUUCUAAGUAUGUGGGUGCAGCUGCCUUGCAGAAAUGUAUUGCAGUAAAAUCCUUCAGUUCUCGAAUAUGGCUGUCUAAAAAUAAUACCUAACAAAGGCUGUCCUUCGCAGGGGAAGCCAGAAAUAACCUUUUUCUCUGUCAAAAUGUAAGGCUAUUAUCAGUUAAUCUACAAGCAGCAGCUUGACCCAGAGACCACGAAAGAGCUGACUUUCAAGCACAUUUUCUACGUUAAGGAAUCUUGAGCUUGGACUUCCCCCCCAAAGAGAUAAUAAAUACC